UGAGCCGUGGCUUUCGGAGCUAACGCGUUAAGUAGACCGCCUGGGGAGUACGGUCGCAAGAUUAAAACUCAAAUGAAUUGACGGGGGCCCGCACAAGCGGUGGAGCAUGUGGUUUAAUUCGAUGCAACGCGAAGAACCUUACCUACUCUUGACAUCCAGAGAACUUAGCAGAGAUGCUUUGGUGCCUUCGGGAACUCUGAGACAGGUGCUGCAUGGCUGUCGUCAGCUCGUGUUGUGAAAUGUUGGGUUAAGUCCCGCAACGAGCGCAACCCUUAUCCUUGUUUGCCAGCGAGUAAUGUCGGGAACUCCAGGGAGACUGCCGGUGAUAAACCGGAGGAAGGUGGGGACGACGUCAAGUCAUCAUGGCCCUUACGAGUAGGGCUACACACGUGCUACAAUGGCGCAUACAGAGGGCAGCAAGCUAGCGAUAGUGAGCGAAUCCCAAAAAGUGCGUCGUAGUCCGGAUUGGAGUCUGCAACUCGACUCCAUGAAGUCGGAAUCGCUAGUAAUCGUAGAUCAGAAUGCUACGGUGAAUACGUUCCCGGGCCUUGUACACACCGCCCGUCACACCAUGGGAGUGGGCUGCAAAAGAA
rnacentral:rRNA from 1 species